AAACAGCUGCUCGAGGACCCCUGAGAUGCAGAGGAUGCAAUUUAUGGAAGGAAUGGUUAUUAUUAUGGCCAGUGUCGGCUUCGUGUGGAGUUCCCCAGGACUUAUGGAGGUCAGGGUGGGUAGCCCCAUGGUGGGAGGAAUGGGCCUCCUACAAGAAGAUCUGAUUUCUGAGUUCUUGUUUCAGGACUUCCUCCAUCAGGCAGCUGGCAGGACCUGAAGGAUCACAUGCGAGAAGCUGGGGAUGUCUGUUAUGCCGAUGUGCAGAAGGAUGGAGUGGGGAUGGUUGAGUAUCUCAGAAAAGAAGACAUGGAAUAUGCCCUGUGUAAACUGGAUGACACCAAACUCCGCUCUCAUGAGGGUGAAACUUCCUACAUCCGAGUUUAUCCUGAGAGAAGCACCAGCUAUGGCUACUCAUGGUCUUGGUCUGGGUCAAGGGGUCGUGACUCUCCGUACCAAAGCAGGGGUUCCCUACACUACAUCUCUCCUUUCAGGCCCUACUGAGACAGGCGAUGGGAAUUUUUUCUUUAUUUUUUAGGUUAACUGAGCUGCUUUGUGCUCAGAAUCUACAUUCCAGAUUGAUCAUUUAGUGUCUUAGGAAAUUUUAAAAAAAAUUUUUUUAAAAGAAAAAAAACUACAUAAUUUCUACCAGGACCAUAUUAGCAGUGAAACAUUUUAAACUGCAGAAAUUGUGGUUUUGGUUCAGAAGCAAGUUGUAUAUUUUUCACCCAAUUAUGGGAAAAAAAAUCAGUUCUGUCUUUGUGGGUUACUCUGCUAUGGAGAUCAGCAGUUACUGUUACUGAGUUGGCCCAUUCUGUUUAGAAAUAUAUUUUAAACGUUUAAUCAAAAAAAAAA